AGACCAGCUUCAAUACCACCAUUAUUACCACUACUGUAACCAUUGGUUAUGGGGCGGGCUGACGCAUAACUAAAAUCAAAAUCGAACAUAAAGCCCGCAUCCAAGCAAAUGAUGCGGUUUUUUUUA
rnacentral:sRNA from 1 species